rnacentral:rRNA from 1 species
GAUGAACGCUGGCGGCGUGCCUAAUACAUGCAAGUCGAGCGAAUGGAUUAAGAGCUUGCUCUUAUGAAGUUAGCGGCGGACGGGUGAGUAACACGUGGGUAACCUGCCCAUAAGACUGGGAUAACUCCGGGAAACCGGGGCUAAUACCGGAUAACAUUUUGAACCGCAUGGUUCGAAAUUGAAAGGCGGCUUCGGCUGUCACUUAUGGAUGGACCCGCGUCGCAUUAGCUAGUUGGUGAGGUAACGGCUCACCAAGGCAACGAUGCGUAGCCGACCUGAGAGGGUGAUCGGCCACACUGGAACUGAGACACGGCCCAGACUCCUACGGGAGGCAGCAGUAGGGAAUCUUCCGCAAUGGACGAAAGUCUGACGGAGCAACGCCGCGUGAGUGAUGAAGGCUUUCGGGUCGUAAAACUCUGUUGUUAGGGAAGAACAAGUGCUAGUUGAAUAAGCUGGCACCUUGACGGUACUUAACCAGAAAGCCACGGCUAACUACGUGCCAGCCGCCGCGGUAA